AAGUCGUAACAAGGUUUCCGUAGGUGAACCUGCGGAAGGAUCAUUGGGAAGAGUGGGGGAAAGAUGUGGGAAUGUAGGGGAGAUAUGAGUGACAAAUAAUCGUUUAUUCAAUAUGACUAGCCACCUGGGAUCUCUGGGCUCUU
rnacentral:misc_RNA from 1 species